rnacentral:rRNA from 1 species
AACGAAUGCUGGCGGCAGGCUUAACACAUGCAAGUCGAACGCCCCGCAAGGGGAGUGGCAGACGGGUGAGUAACGCGUGGGAAUCUACCCAGAUCUUCGGAACAACACAGGGAAACUUGUGCUAAUACCGGAUACGCCCUACGGGGGAAAGAUUUAUCGGAUUUGGAUGAGCCCGCGUUGGAUUAGCUAGUUGGUGAGGUAAUGGCUCACCAAGGCUACGAUCCAUAGCUGGUCUGAGAGGAUGAUCAGCCACACUGGGACUGAGACACGGCCCAGACUCCUACGGGAGGCAGCAGUGGGGAAUAUUGGACAAUGGGCGAAAGCCUGAUCCAGUCAUGCCGCGUGAGUGAUGAAGGCCUUAGGGUUGUAAAGCUCUUUUAGUGGGGAAGAUAAUGACGGUACCCACAGAAAAAGCCCCGGCUAACUUCGUGCCAGCCGCCGCUGUAACAC